GAUGAACGCUGGCGGCGUGCCUAAUACAUGCAAGUCGAGCGAACAGACGAGGAGCUUUCCCCUCUGACGUUAGCGGCGGACGGGUGAGUAACACGUGGAUAACCUACCUAUAAGACUGGGAUAACUUCGGGAAACCGGAGCUAAUACCGGCUACUAUAUUGAACCGCAUGUUUCAAUAGUGAAAGACGGUUUUGCUGUCACUGAUAGAUGGAUCCGCGCCGCAUUAGCUAGUUGGUAAGGUAACGGCUUACCAAGGCAACGAUGCGUAGCCGACCUGAGAGGGUGAUCGGCCACACUGGAACUGAGACACGGUCCAGACUCCUACGGGAGGCAGCAGUAGGGAAUCUUCCGCAAUGGGCGAAAGCCUGACGGAGCAACGCCGCGUGAGUGAUGAAGGUCUUCGGAUCGUAAAACUCUGUUAUUAGGGAAGAACAAAUGUGUAAGUAACUAUGCACGUCUUGACGGUACCUAAUCAGAAAGCCACGGCUAACUACGUG
rnacentral:rRNA from 1 species